GUGGUGUUCGGACGUGUUACGGAAAAGUGCAGUGCAACGGCGUACACUGUGUAUCAACACAACAACAACGCACACACACACACACACACUCUACAAAGGGAGCAUAGAGAUAGUGAUGGUGCAACCCUAAUAAAAAAAAGGGGAGGAAAGUGCGACAUAGUGAAGCAAAGCAAAACAAAAUACAAAUGUGAGUUUCUAUGUAUGUAUGUGUGUGAGAAUACAUGUUGAAGCGAUAAUAAUGAAAGCGGUUAGUGCAAGAAAAUAAAAAUACAUACAUAUAUACAUACAAACGACUUAAGUGCUAAAAGUCGACUGCAAUCAGCGUAUGUGCAACAAAAUACGACAACAACAACAACAACUACAAAACGACGAAAGACGUUAGUGUGGCAAAGUAGCAAGUUGGCCUUUUCGUCUUACCGGUUUUUUGACAUCAACACACAGGCAAGCUACAACAACUACAAACACACACACACGCAAGUGUAUUAGUGUUUGUCUACGAAUCUAUAUGUAUGAGUCGUCACACCGCUUGUUUGGCCCAAUAUUUGUGUGAAUUGUGCGUCCAAACGCGUUUAUAGCGCCGACAGCGCUGCCCGCAGCAGCAAUCGCUAACGUUAUUAACGUUGACUUUGCGGUCGUUGUUGCUAUUGAGUUGAGUAUUUUCGAAUUAUACGUUGCGAGACGUUCGCCACACCACACGCACACACACAUAUAUAUAUAUAUAAAUAUUGCAAGUGUAAAGGUGUUUGUUACUUCGGUCUCAAGUUGGCUUUUUCAUCUUUGUGGGCCGUCGUCGAGUGUGUCUGUCUGUCGUUCGGAGUUUAUUUUUGUGUGGUUUCUGAAUUUUGUAUAUUUUUCGCUCAGCAAAUUUGUGCGCCGUGUGUGUGAAUUAGUAGAAAAUUCAAAACUCCAAAUAUAUUACUGUUUACUGGCAUUACAACAACAAAAACUUCCAGAGGUGACGAAAAAUUUGAGAAAAUAAAUUAUUAAAAAAGUAUUAAAUGACAGCUCAAACGGUUAAGUUUGGCUUCAAAUACAGUUGUGCAAUUCCAUGAGAUUAUCUGCGAGUGCUUGUGCUGACCAAUUUGGUGUUGAGAUAUAUGUACGAACAUACAUAUUUAUAUAAAGUAUGUAAUAUUCAUAAGGAAAAAAUAUAAAAAUUAUAUAUAAAUGAAAAAUGAAGUAAAUAUAUAAAUUAAAUUAAAUUAUAUAAUAUAUUACAAAUUACAUAAAUAUAUAAAUAUAUAUACCAUAGAGUGUGAAUUUCUUUAUUAAACCGGAAUUAGCAGUCAUAAAAAAUAUUACAAAACUAAAAAUUAUUAAGCAAAAUAAAAAAAUACAGUGUAUGCAACUAAAUAAUAAUAAAAAAUAUUACAAUAAUUAAAACAUAAAAUUUUUGGUGAAACUUAGCAAUUACUUUUGUGUGUGUAUUUGCAAGCGCUUGGCCGCUUCGUGGCUGCAAUACGCUUGCCAACAACUGCACUUUGGCAUACAUCUUUCAACUGGAAAUGCCACGGAAUUCAAAUCAUAUUAAAUAUUCUGUGAAAGUGUUCUGAUUUAUUUAUUUAACAUCAGUGGCAAUAAAUAAAGCAUAAUAAACGGUGGUUUAGUGCACUGAAUAGCAAGCUUAACUUGUGGAUUAACUUGGAUUUGAUAUUUCGGAUUUUAUUUCCACAUCGUUCCCAUUGUUAAAUGAAUAGUGACUGCAUGCUGUGGAUAUUUCAGUGAAAAAAGUUUGCAAUAUGUGCAUUUAACAAUUAUUUGUCACAAAAUGUUCUCAUAUACAGAACAACAACACAGUGAAUUACUUGCAGUCAUUAUCAGCAUAAAAGUUAAGAUGCCACUAACAACAACAACGCACAGCACACAGCGAAUGCGUAUUUAAUAAACGCUGUGCAACGGUGCGGUGCGCUUGAUUGCUGAAACGCGAACCACAACACACACAAACAACAAUAACACAGAAGCACACCCAACCAACAAUUGGGUGUUUUGCAUACGCCAACGGCGUGUAAACAUUUAAAACAAAAACACAAACACACAAGUAACGGAAAAUGUUAGUUGUAACAACGAGGCAACGGCAGAAGAGUUGGCACAACAGUUGUACGAACAGCGGUGAUAGUUGUUGUAGUAAUGAAGAUAUAAAGGGUAGCGAUGAGGAUGGCAGCAACUACAGUAGUAGUUGUUGUUGUACCCAAGAGUGCUACUGUAAAGUGAGUAGUAGUUUUGAUGGUGCGUCCAGCCGAAGUCACGUGCCACACGCCACCAUCACUACUCCUUCCACCUGGCUACACCACACAUAUCUGCUGCUCUUCCUGCUCGCCACCACACAGCUGCUGCACUCGGCGCACGGUUAUUUGAUAAUCGUGCACGAGGACGUGCCGGCAGGCACGGUGGUCUUUAACGCGUCGGUCUACAAGCUCGGCUCGGAACGGCAUUACAAAAUUAACGCACACAAAUCGGCGCAUUUCGUGCAUCACCUGGUCGCCGUCAACCACAAGGAUGGCCAGAUACAAUUACGCAAGCAAUUGAAAUGCGAUGGCAUCUAUUAUCCGAAUCUGUUCACCUUCUAUGUGGACUCGACGUCAACGCGAUUGCGCAGCAUUGAUUACUACAGUCUGCCGGUGCGUAUAUUUGUAACAGGACGCGACUGCAACGAGGAUCGACGCAUAGAGGAGGAGAUGCAUAGCCGACACUAUGAGGAGGAGGAGACGGGCUAUUCGAAGCGACGCAGACGUUAUAUCGAUACCAUCGCACAACCCGAUCUGCGCUACUUCGGCGCCUAUUUGGCGCAUACGAGCAACAGCGUGGAGCUGACGCCAAGCAGCACGGAUGUGGAUGUGCUCAAUCACAAUAAUAGUCGGCGUGAGUUCCGCGAUGGCGAUCUGAUAUUCGGCGAUAAUUUCGAUAAUGAUAUGCGUCAUCGUAUACUUAGUCGUAAGCGACGCGCGAAGGAACCGCUACAACUGGAGCCGUCGCUGCAUCGACGUAUUUCGGAUGCGAAGCAAUGGAUCUCGGAAACUUACGCCUCCUACGCUAUACAUACGACGGAUAAAUGGAAUCAAAUCUGCUUGAGGCGUUCACAGUUUAUUAAUAAUCUCAAUGCUUUCUUACCGAAAUCGAUUUGUCAGCAUUGUAAGGUGAACUUCUUGGAUGUGAAUGAUGAACGUUUCGCGAUUGAACAUCAAAAUCACGAUUUGGUGGCUAGCCGCGAUGUCUGCAUACACGAAUCGAUGUGGAAGGUUAGCAUCACCUUUAAUAUACGUUGCAAUCGCAAUGAGAUCGUUGACUCGGAUCAUCGUUUGAAGAUCGUCUAUCACUAUCAGGAGUUCAAUGACACAGAUAUAGCGAAGCGCGUGCGUCGUGAGCUGCGCAAUCAGUCGCCUUACUUCGAGCAAGCGCUUUACGUCGCCUCAGUGUUGGAGGAACAGCCGGCCGGUUCAGCUGUGACAACAGUACGUGCGCGCGAUCCCGAAGACUCACCGGUAGUUUAUUCCAUGGUUUCGUUGUUGGACUCGCGUUCACAAUCGCUCUUCAAAGUGGAUUCACGCACUGGUGUGGUCACAACGUCGGCGAGUUUGGACCGUGAGCUGAUGGAUGUGCACUAUUUUCGUGUAGUUGCCACUGACGACAGUUUUCCACCGCGUUCGGGCACAACGACAUUGCAAGUGAAUGUAUUGGAUUGUAAUGAUCACAGUCCCACCUUCGAAGCUGAGCAAUUCGAGGCAAGCAUACGUGAGGGCGCCACAGUUGGUUCGACAGUAAUCACCUUACGCGCUACGGAUCAAGAUAUCGGCAAGAAUGCGGAGAUUGAGUACGGCAUUGAAAGCGUAACUGACGGCACGGGCACCUUACAAGAUCAAGAGUUACCCAUUUUUCGCAUUGAUGCACGCUCGGGUGUAAUAUCCACACGCAGUACUUUGGAUCGCGAAACUUCGGACAGCUAUAAUCUCAUUGUGACCGCUUCUGAUAUGGCCUCGGCGCAGAGUGAGCGCAAAACCGCCACGGCAACAGUGAUCGUGAAAAUAUUGGACGACAACGACAACUAUCCGCAAUUCAGUGAACGCACCUACACAGUACAAGUGCCUGAAGAUCAGUGGGGCGAUGAUAAUGUGGUGGCGCAUAUACGCGCGACCGAUGCCGAUCAGGGCAACAAUGCGGCAAUACGUUAUGCGAUCAUUGGUGGCAAUACGCAAUCACAAUUCUCGAUCGAUUCAAUGAGCGGUGAUGUGAGUCUUGUCAAACCGUUGGACUAUGAGAGCGUGCGCAGUUAUCGACUGGUUAUACGCGCACAGGAUGGUGGAAGCCCAUCGCGUAGUAACACCACGCAGCUGUUGGUGAAUGUGAUCGACACUAAUGAUAAUGCACCACGUUUCUAUACAUCACAGUUUCAAGAGUCUGUGUUGGAAAAUGUACCAGUGGGUUACAACAUUAUACGCGUACAGGCUUAUGAUGCGGAUGAGGGUGCCAAUGCAGAGAUCGCUUACAGUAUCUCCGAACGUGAUGAUAAUUUUCCACUCGCCGUCGAUUCACGCACCGGUUGGGUGCAAACGAUCAAGCCAUUGGAUCGAGAAGAGCAAAGUCGUUAUACGUUUCAAGUUGUCGCUAAAGAUGGCGGUGUGCCGCCGAAAUCUGCAAGCUCCACUGUGGUAAUAACAGUGCAAGAUGUAAACGAUAAUGAUCCCACAUUCAAUCCGAAGUAUUAUGAAGCGAAUGUGGGUGAGGAUCAACCGCCGGGCACACCUGUGGUUACAGUCACCGCUACCGAUCCAGAUGAGGACUCGCGUCUGCAUUAUGAACUCACUUCAGGCAAUACACGUGGUCGUUUCGCGAUUACUUCACAAAAUGGACGUGGUCUCAUUACUAUUGCACAAUCCUUAGACUACAAACAGGAGAAACGAUUUGUGCUCACCGUAACAGCUACGGAUUCAGGUGGUCGUUCUGAUACCGCUACGGUAAAUAUUAAUAUUACCGACGCCAAUAACUUCGCGCCCAUUUUUGAGAAUGCGCCUUACAGCGCUUCAGUUUUCGAGGAUGCACCCAUAGGCACUACAGUCUUGGUUGUCUCAGCUACUGAUAGUGAUGUUGGCAUUAAUGCACAGAUUACAUACUCGUUGAAUGAGGAAAGCAUAAAUGGAUUAGGCAGCCCAGAUCCCUUUUCAAUAAAUCCACAAACUGGCGCUAUUGUGACGAAUGCGCUUCUGGAUCGUGAAACCACUAGUGGUUAUCUGCUUACUGUCACCGCCAAGGAUGGUGGCAAUCCAUCACUAAGUGAUACCACCGAUGUGGAGAUAAGUGUGACUGAUGUCAAUGACAAUCCGCCCGUCUUCAAGAAUCCACUCUAUCAAGCAUCCAUACUAGAGGAUGCGCUGGUCGGUACUUCGGUCAUACAAGUCUCUGCUACUGAUCCGGAUAUUGGUUUGAAUGGUCGCAUUAAGUAUUUACUGAGCGAUCGCGAUGUAGAGGAUGGUUCAUUUGUCAUCGAUCCUACAUCAGGCACAAUACGCACCAACAAGGGUUUGGAUCGUGAAAGUGUAGCCACGUAUCAUCUUACUGCUAUCGCUGUAGACAAAGGCUCGCCGCCGCUUUCAAGUACGGUGGAAGUUCAAAUACGUUUGGAAGAUGUUAACGAUUCGCCACCAACAUUCCCUUCGGACAAAAUUACGCUUUACGUGCCGGAGAACUCACCCGUUGGCUCGGUGGUUGGUGAAAUACAUGCGCACGAUCCGGAUGAGGGUGUGAAUGCAGUGGUGCACUAUUCGAUUAUUGGUGGCGAUGAUUCGAACUCAUUUUCUUUGGUCACAAGGCCAGGUUCAGAGCGCGCUCAGCUAUUGACUAUGACCGAGUUAGACUAUGAGUCCAAUCGAAAACGUUUCGAAUUGGUCAUACGCGCUGCCAGUCCGCCGCUACGUAAUGAUGCACAUGUGGAGAUCUUGGUUACCGAUGUUAAUGACAAUGCGCCAGUCUUACGCGACUUCCAAGUGAUUUUCAACAAUUUUCGCGAUCACUUCCCUAGUGGUGAGAUUGGCCGAAUACCGGCCACGGACGCGGAUGUGACUGACAAACUAACAUAUCGCAUACUCUCUGGCAACAAUGCGAAUCUUCUGCGAUUGAACACUACCUCGGGUGGUUUAAUUUUGAGUCCACAACUGAAUACAAAUGUACCGAAAUUCGCGACUAUGGAAGUCUCAGUCUCGGAUGGCAUCAAUGAAGCGAAGGCGAUUAUGCAGCUCUCUGUGCGUUUAAUCACCGAAGACAUGCUAUUCAAUUCGGUUACAGUACGUUUGAAUGAAAUGACGGAAGAAGCUUUCUUAUCGCCGCUCUUAAACUUUUUCCUUGACGGUUUGGCUGCUAUUAUCCCUUGUCCGAAGGAGAAUAUUUUCGUUUUUUCCAUACAAGAUGAUACAGAUGUGACAACACGCAUAUUGAAUGUAAGUUUCUCCGCAAAGCGUCCCGAUGUCUCACACGAAGAAUUUUACACACCACAAUAUCUGCAAGAACGUGUCUAUCUGAAUCGUGCUAUAUUGGCACGCCUAGCCACAGUUGAGGUGCUGCCUUUCGAUGACAACCUGUGCGUGCGCGAACCUUGUCUCAAUUUCGAGGAGUGCCUUACAGUGCUGAAAUUCGGUAAUGCCUCCGAGUUCAUUCACAGCGACACAGUGCUCUUCCGUCCCAUUUAUCCCGUGAAUACUUUUGCAUGCUCAUGUCCCGAAGGUUUCACAGGAAGCAAAGAGCACUAUCUUUGCGACACCGAAGUGGAUCUCUGUUACUCAGACCCCUGUCGAAAUGGCGGCACAUGUGUGCGACGCGAAGGCGGCUAUACUUGUAUCUGUUCGCCGAAGCAUACAGGCGUUAACUGUGAAACGGAUAUCUCGACGCUGAAGCCUUGCAUGUCUGAUGCCUGCGAUGGUGGUUAUUCCUGCAUGAAUUCAUUUUUAAGCUCACAGCCACCACCUUACACCGCAACAUGUGAGCUACGUUCGCGUUCAUUCUCCAAGAAUUCUUUCCUCACAUUCGAAAGUCUAAAACAAAGACACAGAUUCAAUCUGAAGCUACGCUUCUCAACUGUGCAUGAAAAUGGCUUGCUUCUUUACAAUGGACGUUACAACGAGCUGCAUGACUUCAUCGCGCUUGAAAUACUUGAAGGGCACGUAAGUUUUUCAUACUCACUGGGCGACAACAAGCAAAGUGUGACAGUGGUACAACAGGCGAAGGUAUCGGAUGGGGAAUGGCAUGAUGUGGAGGUGAUAUAUUUCAACCGAACGGUCACUCUCGUACUCGAUAAAUGCGAUACGGCAAUAGCAUUGGCUGGUAAUCUAGGCGAUCGUUGGAGCUGUGCUAAUCAGACGACACUCAAACUUGACAAACGUUGUGCGCUACUCACAGAAACCUGUCACCGCUUCUUGGACUUGACUGGUCCGCUACAACUUGGUGGUCUGCCACGUAUACCCGCACACUUUCCGGUUGAGAAUCAGGAUUUCAUUGGUUGUAUAUCCGAUUUACGCAUUGAUGAACGUUAUAUAGAUUUGAACUCAUAUGUGGCGGAUAAUGGCACCAUUUCUGGUUGUCCACAGAAGGCACCACUCUGUUCCUCGGAGCCAUGCUUUAACGGUGGUGUCUGUCGUGAAGGUUGGAAUACGUACACUUGCGAGUGUCCGGAGGGCUAUGCUGGCAAUGCAUGUCAGGAGACUAUACCAGCGCCUUGGCGUUUCUCUGGAGAUGGCAGUCUCAGUUUCAAUCCGUUAUUGAGACCCAUACAAUUACCGUGGGUCACAUCACUUUCAAUGCGUACUUUGCAACUGGAUGCGUUUCUGCUGCAAAUCCAAAUUGGGCAGAAUAGCUCGGCGGUACUUUGUCUGAAAAACGGUAUACUCUACUACAUCUACGAUAAUGAGCCGAUGUACUUGGCAGGCGCUUAUCUUUCCGAUGGCAACUGGCAUCGCAUUGAAGUUAAAUGGCUUGGAUCCGAGGUACAGUUUUCUGUAGACUAUGGACAACGUACCGGCGUCGUGCCAAUGUCACAAAAGGUACAGGGUCUUUAUGUUGGUAAGAUUGUGAUCGGUAGUGCAGAUGGUUCGAUAGGUGUAGUUGGUGAUAUGUUACCGUUCGAAGGUUGCAUACAAAAUGUGCGCAUUGGUGCUUCGCAAUCGGUGUUAUCGCGUCCUACCAUACGUGAGAAUGUUGAAGACGGUUGCAUGUCACGCGCCGAAUGCCCCGAAAGCUGUCCACCACACUCCACUUGCACAACAACAUGGGACCAAUCGCAAUGUGAGUGCUUACCGGGUUACGUAGGACCCGACUGCUUGCCCAUCUGCACCGUCAAACCGUGUACAGCGGGUGUAUGUCGCGCGAAUACCAGCGAACCACGCGGUUACAAGUGCGAAUGCAAUAGUUCCUUGCAGCACGGCGAAUAUUGUGAGAAGACCGUUCAGCAACCUUGUCCGGGGGGUUGGUGGGGCGAAAAAGUUUGUGGUCCAUGUAAAUGUAAUCUGAAACAGGGCUACCAUCCAGAUUGUAAUAAGACUACCGGUCAGUGUUACUGCAAGACAAAUCAUUAUCAGCCACCAAAUGAGACUGCGUGUAUACCUUGCGAUUGCUAUUCAAUUGGUUCCUUCAGCAGCGCUUGCAAUCGGCUGACUGGGCAAUGUGAAUGCCGUGAGGGUGUGAUUGGACGACGAUGUGACUCCUGCUCGAAUCCUUACGCUGAGGUAACACUUAAUGGCUGUGAGGUGGUCUAUGACGCUUGUCCGCGUUCGUUCGCCGCAGGCAUCUGGUGGCCACGUACACCGUUGGGCAGCACAACUAUUGAGAACUGCCCGUCGCCAGCUAGAGGCAAAGGACAACGCACUUGCGAUGGCAUGUCAGGUGGUUGGAAUCAGCCCGAUAUGUUCAAUUGCACCUCCGAUCCAUUUGUCGAGUUACGUAAGCAACUUUCACAACUGGAGAAGCUGGAGCUGGAGUUGAACUCAUUCGUUGCCAUCAAAAUGGUGGAAAACUUGCAAUUGGCUUGCGAGACUGUUGAUCGCUCGAGCGCAGUAAAAAAGAAAUUAGUGAAGGAUAGUCGUCGCUACAAAAUGGAAUCCUCCUUUUUGAUAAAUGAAGGCAACAAUAUGUGGUCGAACGAGCUUGAGAUGGAUUAUUUGUCAGAUGAACUAAAAUUUACACAUGAUCGUCUCUACGGCGCUGAUCUCCUAGUAACCGAAGGCAUAUUGCAGGAGAUAAUUAACUACGAACUAAUGCAAAAUGGUUUGAACUUGACGCAUAGUCAAGAUAAGUAUUUCAUUAAAAACUUGGUGGAUGCCGCAAGCGUGAUUUUAGAUCGCAAGUAUGCUGCGGAAUGGAAACGUGCCACCGAAUUGAUACAACGUGGACCCGAUGAUCUUGUGGACGCAUUCAACAAGUAUAUGGUUGUCUUAGCGAGCUCGCAGCAUGAUACCUACACUAACCCAUUCGAGAUUGUACAACGAAAUAUGAUAUUUGCUUUGGAUAUUAUCACUACCGAAUCACUUUUCGGCUAUGAACCCGAACAGCUCAGUGAAUACCACAAAACAAAGCUUAAUAUUAAACCAAAUGCGUACACCACGGAGAGUGUGAUAUUACCAGACACCAGUGGUUUCCUACAGCACUCAUCAAAGCAAAAACCCGUUAUCACGUUCCCCAAAUACAAUAAUUAUAUACAAGAUAAGACGAAGUUCGACAAGUAUACAAAAGUGUUAGUGCCACUGGACAUGUUGGGCAUUACGCCACCCGGCAGCAAUGAAGUAACACAGAACGCGAACGAUUAUCGCGCCAUCAUCUCAUACGCACAGUACAAAGACGUGGGACAACUUCUUCCCGAUAUGUACGACGAGACGAUCACACGACGUUGGGGUGUCGAUAUUGAGGUCGCUUCACCGAUACUAUCACUUGCCAUUUUAGUGCCAUCCAGCGACACUGAGGAGAAGCGUAUAGAGAUACCUUACCGUAAGAUUUCUUCACAAAAAAUCGAUUCCAACGAACAACAAUUUAUCGAGGUAUUCGAUGUGCCGAAGACAAGCAGUAGUGGCAGCGAGGAGCACAUGAUUGAGAAUAUACGUAUAACAGCGCAUGAAAUUAUGCCACCGGCGACAAGCAACUCGCAGGAAACCUCCGCCGAGGUGUCAAGCAACGAGGCCGUAGAAGUGGGUGAUGGCGGUGAUGAGCCACAUAUUAGCGUGCGCUUCGAUGACGAAAAUAUCGAGUUUCAUGGUGAUACAGGCGAAGAAGUCGUAGAUUCACCCGAAGUAGUGAACCCACACUUCGAUGUCGGUUCCAGUGAACAGCAGAAGGGUGAGAAUGAAGCCAUCUAUCGUAAUCGCAGACUCGUCAAACGUCAAGUGGAAGUUAUCUACCCAUCAGAACAGCAGCAAACGCAGCAGAAUGUUAUCUAUCGUUCGCUGGGUUCGCCACACCUCUCACAACCCAUCAAGUUGCAAAUGUGGCUGGAUGUAGAGCCAGCGCGUUUCGGACCACGCUCCAAUCCACAAUGUGUGCGUUGGAACUCAUUCACCAGUCAAUGGACUCGUCUCGGCUGCCAAACCGAAGUGCCCGACUUCGAUGAGUUGCCGCUGGAUGGUCAACCAAUUAUUGUGAACUGUACCUGCACACAUGUCUCCAACUAUGCGGUGAUUGUGGAUAUUAUCGACCCUGAGGAUAUACCUGAACCUUCAUUAUUGGUACAAAUUACUUCGUAUUCUGCAUUCAUGGUCUCACUGCCAGUGCUACUGAGCGUGCUCAUCGCUUUGGCUCUGCUGCGUGGUCAGCAAACCAAUUCCAACACCAUACAUCAGAAUAUUGUGCUCUGCGUAUUCUGCGCCGAACUGCUAUUCUUCGUGGGCAUGCAGUCACGUCGCAAUCUGCUCGAAAAUGAAUUCCCCUGCAAGCUUAUUGCGAUUUGCUUGCAUUACUUCUGGCUGGCGGCAUUCGCUUGGACCACAGUCGAUUGUGUGCACCUGUAUCGUAUGCUCACCGAGAUGCGUGACAUCAACCAUGGCCCGAUGGGAUUCUAUUUUGCCAUGGGCUAUGGUGCGCCGGCCAUUGUGGUCGGUUUGUCAGUCGGCGUACGGGCGCAUGAGUAUGGCAAUAGUUUGUUCUGUUGGCUCUCUGUGUACGAGCCAGUUGUUUGGUGGCUCGUUGGUCCCAUAGCGGGCAUGUCGGUGGUGAAUCUGCUCAUACUGUUUGUUUCGGUGAAAGCCGCCUUCACACUGAAAGAUCACGUACUCGGUUUUGGUAAUCUACGCACGUUGCUUUGGUUAUCCGUUGUCUCCUUGCCGCUGAUGGGAGUCAUGUGGGUGUUGGCCGUUUUAGCUGCUUCUGAGAAUUCACAGAUGCUAAGCAUACUGCUAUCGGGGGUGGUGGUAUUGCAUUCCAUUUUCUGUCUCAUCGGCUACUGUAUUAUCAACAAAAGGGUGAGAGAGAACCUGCAACGCACUUUCUUACGUUGUAUGGGACGGAAAGUACCGCUCUUAGACUCUUCACUGGUGGUGAGCAAUAGCUCACAUAAUGUAAACGGUGCGACGAGGCCGAAUAAUUUCCUAGCGGGCAGCUAUGAUACAGCGAGAAGAAAUGUCGGUAUCAGCGUCUCGAGUACGACAUCACGGAGCACGGCUAAAACGAGUUCCAGCCCGUAUAGUGACGGCCAGUUGCGGCAGACUUCUACAUCUACCUCCAAUUAUAACUCCGCCAGCGAUGCACCCAGCUUUUUGCGUGGCUUCGACUCAUCUACUGGCGGCGGCGGCGGUGGUGGACGUCGUGAAGAGAAAUCACGUCGUCAUCGUAAAGACUCCGAUUCUGGCUCCGAGACGGAUGGACGUUCGUUGGAGCUCGCCUCCAGUCAUUCAAGUGAUGAUGAUGAAUCUCGCACCGCGCGCUCUUCGGGUACACAUCGCAGUACCGGUGUUAGCGCCACGCCUUCUUAUCUACCGAAUAUUACUGAGCAUGUGCAAGCGACAACACCGCCUGAACUGAAUGUUGUGCAAAGUCCGCAACUCUUCCCGAGUGUCAAUAAGCCGGUGUAUGCGCCGCGUUGGUCAAGCCAACUACCCGAUGCCUAUUUGCAGUCACCAGCGAAUGUGGGACGUUGGUCGCAAGAAACCGGUUCGGACAAUGAACAUGUGCAUGGUCAAAAAGUGACAAUCUCACCAAACCCACUACCCAAUCCAGAUCUCACGGAUACCUCGUAUCUACAGCAGCAUCACAAUAAAAUAAAUAUGCCACCAUCGAUAUUGGAAAAUCUGCAGAAUGUACGUAACGAUAACGGGUAUGAUACACUCGAGCAUGAAAAUCUCUAUCGACGCAAGGAGUAUCAAGAUAGCUAUGGGCAAUUCGACACUCUCCCCGUGGCGGGCAACUACAAACCACCAAGUCACUACGGCAGCGAAAAAGACUACAAUGGAAGUGCCAAUGGUAGCAACAGUGGUGGUGGUGGUGGCGGCAAUGGUGGCACACAAAUCGUUAACCACAUGCGCUCCUUCCAUCCCGACGCGGCCUACCUCAGUGACAGCAUCUACGACAAGCAACGCACUCUCGGCUAUAUGGGUCCCAAAGCGGAAUCACCAUAUAUGUCCAAAGAACGCAUUGCACCCGACAUCUAUGGCUCACGCGAGAAUCACUAUAGUCUUAAGAAACCGCAUAUGUAUGUUGGUACCGCCGACUCAAUGCAUUCGGUGCAUUCGUUGCUCAAGAACGACUACCAGGCGCAACAGCAGCGUCAACACCACCUGCAACAACAACAACAGCUGCAACAGCAACACCAACAGCACCAGCCAACAGUAGCGGACUAUCACUCGGAUCGCAUGUCGGAGGGUUCGGACAAAAAUGGUUAUCAUUUUCCAUACACGGCCGAAGAGGACCAUAUACCGGGUGCGCGUAAACUCAGUCAUCAACAUAAUCCCUCACCCUCACUGCACAGUUCACAUCAGAUGCUGAACGGGCAUGCGCACGGUCAUGCAGUGAACGACAUGAACAAUCCCGGCAUGUUGGGACGUCACACAUUGAACUCAAGCUCGCGGCAUGGUUCGCGUACCAGUUCGCCACCCUCAAGCAUUGUGGCGCCCAUGCAGCCGCUGGCGCCGCUCACCAGCAUAACGGAUACAGAGUGGUCAUGGGAACGCCUAAAGAAAAUCUAAUUACAAUUUUCUGUAUUUUCCACACGCAAAAUGAAUUCCACAUUUGGCAAAAUGCAAAUGAAUUGCGAAUGCAAUGAAAUAUCAUUUAAUAUAAACAUAUAACUACACACAUACAACAACAACAACAAAUGGCAAACGAUGUUUCCCUGCGGUAAACACUUACACCGAAUAAAUGUCGAACCAAAUAAACUGUUUGACACGAAAUCCGAUGGAACGCUGGAUAAACACACAAUGAAUGCGAAAACAUUAUAUAUAUACACUGUACAACAACAACAAUGUGUAAUUCAUAAUAAAUUUAUGCGAAAACUGCUGCACUCAAAUGGCACACGGAAAUGCAAAAACGAAAAACGAACACAAAUAUGAAAACAUAAAAAUAUUGCCGAAAAAUAUCAUCAAAUCUGCAAAUGCAACCCUGUUGUGCCACCGUUAAAUGCCCAUAAAUUGCGAACUCAACCGGCAAUUUGCACCAACACACAUGCGAUUGCCCAAAUUAAUCAACCGUGUGCGCUCAAAAAUGCACAUAUACAUACACUUAUACACACACACAUGCAACUGCACACGCGCUCGUCACGAAAAAUGGCGCCACAAAUGCAUUUCACACCACAUUGACUAACUGCAAACCGCUGCACAAUGCCCACUAACACCAACUAACAAUGCUAAUGAUACAAAAACAAACUAUAUGCUAUACAAAAACAACAACAACAAUCACAACGACUCGCUUAACUACAAACUAUCUGUGCUAAAAAACAAAAAAAAACUCUGGCAUUCUCCUGUACUCUCUCUCUCUCUCUAUGUACAUUUUCAUCCAACCACAACCACAACAACAACAAUCAAUCAACGCAGUUCAGAGGAGGAACAUUGAUGAUGAUGAGACGACCGUGUGACCACAUCACCAACAACAACAACAGCAGCAACAGCAAGAAUUGCAGAAUAACACAAUAAUAAAUGAACAUAAACUACCAAUAAUGCAACAAGAUGUGUCAUUAAAACCACAACAACAGCAGCAACAGCAGCAACAGGGGCAACAACAGCAACAAAAUCGAGUAUCCACACAAUUUUCGCCACUGCCAAUAACAACAAUAUUGCAACAACCAAUACCAGUGCAACUUCGGAAAAUUAAUCAGAAAAUGUUGAAAAGCGAUACAAAUAGACAGCAGCAACAACAACAACAACAACAGCAAAAGCAAAAACAAAACUAUCAACAACAAGAGCAACCACAACACUUCGCAACUAUACGUCGUGUGCCAUCGCCACACUACAGUGGCCGAUGUCAGUAGCAAAAGUAAAGAAAAACAAAAACAAAAGAAAAUAUUGUUAAAAUAUAAACAAAAACCUAGCUUAAGUAUGUAGAGCUAUGUAGCAGUAUAAAUACUUGCACACACACACAUGUGUUUGCGCUCUAUAGCUGUAUGUAUGUACUUGUAAAUGUAUUUGUUAAGUUGAUCAUUAGUAUUAGUAUCGAUGGAGCUCUAUAAUGUAUAUGUUGGCAAGUAUUGAUGAGAGAACUAUAAACAAGUUACAAAUUUCAACAAAAACAAGCAGAAUACUAAUAAAACCGUUAAGCUAUGUAUUUAUUGUAUCGCAGAAAGAGUGUAUGUAAGGAAGGAACUUAUAUAAAAAUGUAAAAAGGAAACACGAAGAGUUUAGUGUAGUAAUCAACUGGAGUAGAGAGGAAACAGUGUGCUUAAAUAAUUAGGGAUUUGAUGAGUUGAUUUAGUACGUUUUUGCCAAAUCUGCGCACUUAUGCUUUGAAGAUAUCUAUUACGAAAACUGUUCUUUCACGGAACUCUAAUGGCCGAGCAAUCUCACUGUGAAACAAUUCCUUCUAACCUCACAUUUUUUAAACUCUAAUGACUUUUGUGCCCGUGGCAGUUUUUCCCAAAAUUUACUAGAAUUUCUACCAUGUAUGAUUUUUGGUACACGAGAUCAGCUGUCUUCAAUUCUCCAAACCUUUUAGCCAGCGUGUGUUGCGAAUCGAACAACUAACUGAUAUUAACCAAACAUACUGACAUAAUCAAAUAGCGGUAAUAUCAGUCCAAUAUCCGAACGGUAAAACAAUCCUGACGAGCUUUCCACAUACUCUGAUAUUUAUAUUUCUGAUGUGGAAUUUUUCAGAAGAGAGCAAAUGCUAAUGCUAAUGCUAUUACAAAGAGAUAUGUGGUCAAUGCUUUCAAAGCACCUUUACUAUAUCGUAAAGCACGACUCACACCUAUCUUUACAUAUUUAGAUAUCAGAGAGAGAAAAAGAGAGAGUAGUAAUGAAUAACUAGCUUGAUCUCAUUAUAAGAAAUUCAAAUCUCAAAUUCUGCGCAAAUUUUCUGCAACAUUUCAAUACGAUCUGCCAUUCGAUACUAUGAGAUAUAGAAACUGAAAUAUUCCUUAUCAGAUUUUUAAAAUACUUCACUCAAGGGCAAUCUUAAAUCAAUUACACAAACUCAAACAAGCUGUAAAGCCACCAGAUUCAUUUUUCAACUGUAUUCUAAGAUCCUGUGGAAGAAAAUAAAAAUGUAUUUAUUUAUAAAAAUUUAAAGAGAUAUCAUGAGCUACCAAACUUACAUUUAUUAGUUAUCGCUUGAGACACAGCAUCAGCUGAGGAUUCUUUUUGUAAAUAUUUAGUUGUUUAAGCUAUAGAGUUAUCGAAAUAAAUACAUAUAUAAAUAUAUAGCAAAACAUUUAAGGUGAAGAAGUGUCGCGAAGAGCGUUCAGACAUGACACCUAACGGCUAUUCGUGCGGUCUAAAAUAUAUGUAACGCAUCAAUAUUGAACCUGAGUUAAAGUGUCUGCAAAAAGAGGAGGUAAAAUCCGAAACAAAACAUAUUUUCACAAAUAUACUUAUGACGAGAAGAAACUAAAAUAAAUGAUAAAAAAGCUACGAAUAAACUGUUAAAGCGAAAAACUCGAAAUUCAAAUAGACUAUACAAUAUUAGCUGUAUUAAAUGAAAGUAUUGAUAUUUUGAAAAAUAAAAAAAAUUAAAAAUAACAUAAAAUGUUAAAAUUUAGAACAGUAAAACGUUUAAAUGAUGGACAAUUUUUUUCUCAUUUCACUUGCAACUCGAAAAAAAAAAUUUAAAUAAUUUUUAAAUUAAAAAUAACAUUAAAUUUUUUCCACUUCAUUAGCAUAGAUUUUUUGUAUGAAAUGCAUUUAGUUGUUAGUGUAGGUUAGCAUAAGUUAAUUUAAAAAUAACUACUCUUAUGUAAAAAUCUUAUACGAAGCUUAUUUGAAGGCUAUUGGACCUGUCGGAAGCCAAGUGGAUAUUAAAAUGAUAUUAAUGUAUAUUUUCGUAAUUCAAACUGAAUUUUUUAUGUAUCGAUGUACAAUGUUAAGUAUUAAAUUGAAGCAACAUAAAAAGACAGCACAUAAAGUUAAAUAUAAUUAAUUAUUAAUGUUCGUGGACGGCAAAAAAUUUGAAAUCACCCAAAAUCGAUUCUUUACCUUUAUAAGAAAAUAAAUAGGCCGAAGAGAGUUAUUUGAAAUUCAAAUAUGAGUUUUGGUAAAAUUUUGCUUGUACAAGAACUUUCUUAGAUUACAUGAAUGAUGAGCUUUUAAGCUUUUAUGCGAACAGGAUAUAAAAAGCUUCACGGUUUUCACAAGCUUUCAGCACAAAAUUUUGCUUUUAAAGCGUUCCUGAAAUGUAACGAUAUAAAAAUGGCUACAUGGUAAUCAUAGUAAGCUUUGGAGGUCAACUCUACCACCGAAAGUGAGUGCUUUUUAAAGCUUUUAUGUGAAGUGCACAAAGCUUUUUGUGCACAAAGUGGCUAACAUUUAAUUUAUAAUUUUCCAGUAUAUAAUAGCAAAUAAAUUGAGUGAAAUGAGACUUUUUCAAAUAUUUCUCUUCGACCUUUCGAAUCUACCACUUAAAUAUCUUGCCAGAACAUCGUAUCAACUGCAUUUUUAGAAAUUUAAGACAACAUUUACAUAAACUACUCAUUUGCAUUUACAUAAUCGCAAUUAUUUAGUACGCGUAAAGCCUGAUUUGCAUUUUCAUUUCAACUGACUCCCAAACCACCUUAUCGAAUCGUAAACGUAAAGAGUGCCUCGACCAUAGUUUGGAGCUUAUUCGAAUUUAGUUGGCUAACUGUAAAGUAAAGUAAAAGUAAUAUAGGGAAAAGAAAAGUGUAAUGAGAGAUAGUAAAAAGUAGUUUUAUGUAAAAUACAGAUAGCGCAGAAAGCGAGCAGCUUUUGGCUGCCAAAGGUGUAACUCCAUUCAGCUUCUUAUGCCAUAAUUUUAGUUAAAAUUUAGGUCAACUAUUAUUGUUUAUAUUUAUAAAUAAGAUUAGUGAUGCAUUUGUAGUUGUUUUAAGUUAAAAAUGCUAUGCUGCGGAACUUUACGUGACAUCGCAGUAGAAAAAAAGGCAUUUAAUACAUAAAAAUUGCACAAAAUUCGGAGCACUUUAGUAGCUAUUUAUAUGAAAAUUUAGGUUUGUGGUUUUUUAUUUAUUUUAUAUUUAUAUGUAUAAAUUAUUACUUUAUUUGUAUAUGUAUAUUCUCGAAUCUCUCAAACCGCUGGUAUUUAAAAUAUAUUUAAAGAAAAACAAAACAAAAUACUCAACCAGUGAUUGCGAUUAUUGUUUUAUUAUUAUUAUUUUGUUACAUAUUUAUUUAAACUUAUUUUUAUUUCAAAUAGUUAGUAGUUAUAUAUUUAAAAGAAAUUUGUAUAUUAUAUAUACAGCAGACAGACACACGGCUAUAUUUUUAAAUAAAUAAUAAUUAGUUUUUAGGUUACCAAAACAUACAUACACACAUAUACAUAUACAAAACUCUAUACAACAUUCUCAUACAAAAUAUUUUGCUGUAAGAAGUAAAAUAAUAAAAUAUAAGUUAAUAAGUUUGUAGCUUAAGUUCAUUGAAAUACACAUAAACAACACACAAAAUCAUUUAAUGUUAGUUUUUUAUAUCGAAAAACAAAUAUAUAUAUAUAUAAAUAGUUAUAUGUAUACAAAAAAUAUAUCAAACUUAUCGGAUCAAUGGGUAGCAUAAGUAAUAUUUACCCACA